UCCUCCCCCUCCAGCUAUGGCAAAGCCGUCGUCAAACAUCAACCUCGUCUAUGCCUAUUUCUAUCCCUAUUUCUCAACCCAGUCUUUUCCACCUUAACUUACUAUCAAAUCUACCCCAUCAAAACCCUCAUCUCUAAUCUCCUUUACAUCCUCACCGUCUCCAUCCUCUCUCUCUUCGCCACCGGUUCUGUCACCUACAGCGUUUUCCACAGCUUUCACGGUUGACCCGUCAAGCUUUCAUCCUUUAUCAAGGCAGCUUUCACUUCCUUUCUCCCCUCCUCUCAACUUGGCUUGUAACUCAGCUUAUCAUUUAUGGGAUCGGUUUAGUUCUUGGUUUGGCCUUUUUCUCAUUAUUCAAAGCAAUCCAGCUUCUAGGCCCCCAAGUUGAUUGCUGUUCACCUUAUUUCAUUUUCCUUUGUCUUGCUUAUGUGAUCAUCCUCAUGUUUAUCAUGGUUUAUUUGCAAGUGGACUGGAUAUUUGCUUAUGUCAUCGUCGUGGUUGAAUCAAGCUGAGGAUUUGAACUUCUAAACCACUGGUAACACAUCAACAGAAUCUUCACAAUUUCAAACUCUCUUUCUCUGUCUAUUUUUCCUGUAUUCACACUGCCUUUGAUGGUUUUUGAUUCUUUUUUGAACUCUGGAAGCUUAGAAUGACAGAACUUCCUGGGUUUUGUUUUUGUUUGGGUUGCUGAAAUGGAUUUGCUUUGUUAGAGCAGUUUUGUCUUUUGGGAACUACAAUUACAAGGAAAAAAAGCUUGGUUUGUUGAUCUUCUAAAUUAUGUUGAUUUUUACUUAGUGUUUCCUGCAGUUGCUCGCGCUGUUCAUCAGUGCACAAUCUCUUUGUUUUCUGUUUAUUUACUGAUCAACAACAACGCAUGUUCACAAGGGAUUUUUGUUCUGAUGCUACUGGGAACCCGUUUACUAGAUCACCAAAUUCAACUUUCUAUGUGUACUAUGAGGCUGGAGAUAUGCAUCGAAGCAGCUCUUGGAUUACAUUACCUUCACAACGGAGCAAAGCGAGCAAUAGUUCACGGUAACGUUAAGAGCGGAAACAUUCUUUUGGGUUCAACUGGGUUUGCAAGCUUGCCGAAUUCCGGACUUCCAAACUGCGUCCCCGUCGCAAUUCUAAGCCGAAAGCUUCGGAAGAAUAGAUCCAUUAGUGCAGAGUAAUUUAGGGUAUUUGGAUCCCGAGUAUCUGGAAACAGCGCAACUGGAGGAAAAAUGUGAUGUGUACUCAUUUGGGGUUGUUUUGUUUGAAGAGUUGUGUGGUAGAAUGCCAUUUGUGGAGCAUGAUGGGGAGAUGAAGAUGACUCCAGUUGAUCUGCCAUGCCGGUCGAUUAAAGAAAGAACCAUUUAUGAUAUGAUUGAUCCAUUUUUGAAGGGGAGGAUUCCGCCAGAGUGCUUCAAGCUGUUCGUGGACAUCGCCGGUUCAUGUACUCGUGUAGUCGGAGACUCACGGCCUGAGAUGGGUGAAGUGGAGGCGACGCUGGAGCGUGCUUUGGAAUUGCAAGAGAAGGCUGAUUCCAAGCCAAAGCUUAUGGUUU